rnacentral:rRNA from 1 species
UCUCCUGGAAACGGGUGGUAAUGCCGGAUGCUCCAGUCCAUCGCAUGGUGGUCUGGGAAAGAUUCUAUCGGUAUGGGAUGGGGUCGCGUCCUAUCAGCUUGAUGGCGGGGUAACGGCCCACCAUGGCCUCGACGGGUAGCCGGCCUGAGAGGGCGACCGGCCACAUUGGGACUGAGAUACGGCCCAGACUCCUACGGGAGGCAGCAGUGGGGAAUAUUGCACAAUGGGCGCAAGCCUGAUGCAGCGACGCCGCGUGCGGGAUGGAGGCCUUCGGGUUGUAAACCGCUUUUGAUCGGGAGCAAGCCCUUCGGGGUGAGUGUACCCUUCGAAUAAGCACCGGCUAACUACGUGCCAGCAGCCGCGGUAAUACGUAGGGUGCAAGCGUUAUCCGGAAUUAUUGGGCGUAAAGGGCUCGUAGGCGGUUCGUCGCGUCCGGUGUGAAAGCCCAUCGCUUAACGGUGGGUCUGCGCCGGGUACGGGCGGGCUGGAGUGCGGUAGGGGAGACUGGAAUUCCCGGUGUAACGGUGGAAUGUGUAGAUAUCGGGAAGAACACCA